rnacentral:rRNA from 1 species
GUUUACGGCCAUGCCACCCUGAACAAGCCCGAUCCUGGCUGAUCUCGGAAGCUAAGCAAUUUUCUUUCCCUGGUUAGUAUUGGGAGACCACCUAGGAGGACCAGGUGCUGUAGGCA